rnacentral:lncRNA from 1 species
CAGGAGGCUGAGGCAGGAGGAUCACAAGUUCAAAGCCAGCCUCAGCAAUUUAGCAAAGCCCUAAGCAAUUUAGCAAGACCUUGUCUCUAAAUAAAAUAUUUUUUUUUUUUUUAAAAAAAGGGGCUGGGGAUGUGGCUCAGUAGUUCAGUGGCCCCUGGGUUUAGUCCCCAGUACCAACGGGAGUAAUCCCUUAUCACCACCUGCUCUUUGGGUUUCCCCGGGUUCAAGUUAUUGGCCCCUCCUGGAAGCACACACUUUUGAUCUCAGACUGACGGGUGUUCAGGCCCCCAACUCACAGAAGAGAGGCGAUCAUCAUCUUGCUCUCUCUGCUCCUUGAUCCAACCAAUUCCUUGUUGCCUGGUGGAAAAUCUGAAAGUUCCUUGUGUGAAAGAUUGAUUGGGGUUUGAAGAGAGAAAACAAAAGACCCUACUUCUGCUCUUGCAAAAACCUAGGGGAAGUCCUGUCCUAGGAACCAUCGACGGAAUGGGGAUGGUUUUCACUGGCAAGUUUAAACCUGUCUCUUAUAAGCAACUUAUACCCAUGGUCUCGGGUCCUGGUGGCUUAGAGCUGUCUUCUAUGGGGCCCAGGGUUUAGCCAAAGAUAUGAAGGAAAAUUCAGGCUGAUCUCUUGUGUUUUGAGAUGGCCCCAGCCACACUUGGAGUUCUGAGGAUAUUCUAGAACCCUGAAUGCAGAGGAUUGGACUUGGAGGGCAUCUUAGCCGUGACCAGCAGACCUCACCAUAUGCCCCCUACUGCCCAUGCUCGGUGUAGACCUCGUCUUAUGGAGGCCUCUGGGUAAGCCUAAGAGUGAAGCUCCAUCAUCUGCAAUUUCCAACAGGAGAAAUGAACCUCUGUAGGACAUGGAGCUCAAAGGUGGCAGAACCGGAGACCUUCUCUGCAGCUGCCUGUCUACCCCUGGACACCUGGUGCCACAUGCAGAUAAGUGAGAGAUACACAGAAUGAAAAGUCCCUCCUAAGUUCCGGAAAGACAAA